AUUGAACGCUGACGGAAUGCUUUACACAUGCAAGUCGAACGGCAGCACGGACUUCGGUCUGGUGGUGAGUGGCGAACGGGUGAGUAAUGUAUCGGAACGUGCCCAGUCGUGGGGGAUAACGUAGUGAAAAUUACGCUAAUACCGCAUACGAUCUAUGGAUGAAAGCGGGGGAUCGCAAGACCUCGCGCGAUUGGAGCGGCCGAUAUCAGAUUAGGUAGUUGGUGGGGUAAAGGCCCACCAAGACAACGAUUUGUAGCUGGUCUGAGAGGACGACCAGCCACACUGGAACUGAGACACGGUCCAGACUCCUACGGGAGGCAGCAGUGGGGAAUUUUGGACAAUGGGCGAAAGCCUGAUCCAGCCAUUCCGCGUGCAGGAUGAAGGCCCUCGGGUUGUAAACUGCUUUUGUACAGAACGAAAAGGUUUCUACUAAUACUAGGAGCUCAUGACGGUACUGUAAGAAUAAGCACCGGCUAACUACGUGCCAGCCGCCGCCGUAA
rnacentral:rRNA from 1 species